rnacentral:tRNA from 1 species
UAGUAUAGGGCGGAUGUAGCCAAGUGGAUCAAGGCAGUGGAUUGUGAAUCCACCAUGCGCGGGUUCAAUUCCCGUCAUUCGCCCAUGAAUCUAUUAAAUCUAGAGAAAAAAAGACAAAAUAAUUUCGAAUAGAAUCUUUUAAAACAAAAAGAGAAAAGAAUUUAUAAUAUACUCCUGUUGCAGCUGAUACUGCUGUUUUCUUGAUCUACCCGAAGCUUUAAUUCUUAGCGGAUAAUCCCAAUUUUGGUUGAAUAGUAGUACAUUAUUAUCUCAUUUUAUUAUAUAAAUAUAGAAUAACAAAUUAGUA